rnacentral:tRNA from 1 species
UCCCUGGUGGCUCAGAUGGUAAAGCAUCUGUCUACAAUGCAGGAGACCUGGGUUUGAUCCCUGGGUCGGGAA